rnacentral:rRNA from 1 species
UGGGGAAUAUUGCACAAUGGGGGAAACCCUGAUGCAGCGACGCCGCGUGAGCGAAGAAGGUUUUCGAAUCGUAAAGCUCUGUCCUAUGGGAAGAUAAUGACGGUACCAUAGGAGGAAGCCCCGGCUAACUACGUGCCAGCAGCCGCGGUAAUACGUAGGGGGCAAGCGUUGUCCGGAAUCACUGGGCGUAAAGGGUUCGCAGGCGGAAAUGCAAGUCAGUUGUGAAAGGCAGAGGCUCAACCUCUGUAAGCAAUUGAAACUGUAUUUCUUGAGAUGUGGAGAGGCAAGUGGAAUUCCUAGUGUAGCGGUGAAAUGCGUAGAUAUUAGGUAGAAUACCGGUGGCGAAGGCGACUUGCUGGACACAAACUGACGCUGAGGAACGAAAGCGUGGGUAGCAAACAGG